rnacentral:lncRNA from 1 species
GCUAAUUAAACUAAUGCAUUUAUAAUUUGUGACAUAGGCAUGCUUUUAUACUAACAUCAACUUAUGGUAUAUGUUACAUUCAACUUCCAUUUUAUUUAACUUCUCAACUAAUUCUGGAUUGAUCACGAACUAACAGUACCCUAAAUCAGUCAAAUGCCUAAACAUCAAUCAUAAAAGCAAUCGGUAGUUCCCGCACUCAGUUUGGAGUUCCUAACAAUUAAAUGACAACAAAUUUGAACUAAAUAACAUAUUAAGCCAUUCUUAUCCCGAGGCUAUCAUCAAGUGAAUAUCACAAGUGCUCAAUAGUCCCCAAGCAGUCCAGAUUAUAUAACAGUUCUGAUCGACUCUAGUUCAAAUGAUUACAAAAUUGAUUUUGUUUCAAACAAUUAUACUAAUGUCUAGGUUUAUACAAAUAAUAGAUCAGCUAAACCAAUAGAAGACAGUUGAAACAUAAUAGGCUAUUUGGAAUGGUAAAUCCACAGCAACACCAUCUUAGUUUCAUUCCAUUUUAAAAGGAGAGAGCUACAUUGACUAGUUCAAGGUGUGUAGCUGGAAGUAGGAAUACAAUGAAAAGAGAGAAGUGAUCACCAACAGCAAUAAACAGCAUAGUAUCACAGCAAAUAGGAUCAUUUGAAGACCACAAGACCCAGGAAUAGAGGACGGAUGACAAUUAGCUAGUGAAAUCAAUCCAAAAACUGAAUCGAUUGACCAGUUUCAUCUCAAAGCAAGCCAAAUAGCUCAAAUAUACCCAAAACCAUUUCAAAUUGGAAUCCAAAACACCUCAAAACUUCUGUGAUUCUAGUUAUGCUAAUAAAUGAACAUCAGUGAUUGGAAUUCAAAAUCAGCCUAUCUAACAGUACCUUUAUUAUUAUUUUUUGCAUUUUCUUUUGUUUGGUUUUUGGAGAUUUAAAUUUGAAAUCAAAUUUUCUAAAACUAAAAAAUGCUUUUGGGGAAAUUUGGACUCUGGAGGAUUUUUAGGAAUUUUUCAAAUAUA